CCUGGAGAAAUUGUAAAAAGCCUUGCAAAGAGUUGUCGGAAGGACCGUUAUUCCUGCUGGGCAGGAGCGAGAGGAGAGACCCUGAAACACACGCCACCUAUCUUUGUGGGGAGGGAUAAUUGAAGAGCACCAAACAUAUGGAUCAGGGGUGAGAUGGGCUCUCUUCCCGGCUCUGCUCUCCCUUGGAAGUAGCUGGAUGGGCAGAGAGACAGCGCGGGACUGAACUUCAGGGACGUUACAAGUUUUUCACCUUUUUCAUGUAUUAAAAUUAAAAUAAAAUUACAUAUAGAAAAAAAAGAAAAAAAAAAAAAGAAACCCAGACUCCACCUUUGCACUGAAGGGAUUGGUUAUGCAAAUAUGGAAGGGGUUUCCUGGCAAAUACAGCUUUCUACUGUAUGGUUAAU